GCAAUUAACAAAAAUCCCAUUUAAGAUAUUUAAUUAUAAUCAUUCAGACUAAAAUAUAAAGUCCAAAAGAAUGUUAUGGAACCAAAUCAAGAAAUGACAACAACUAUUGAUCUCAGUGGCCUACCACACCCAAAAAAAACCUCAACUUUCUCCUUGCAAGCAUGGGAAUGGCAUGGUAGUAUGGCUUUAAUGGGAUUCAGAUUCAGUCUUCCAUGUGAGACAUGCUCUGGAUUUUACCUAUUCACAGGUAAAUCUUCUGUACCCUAAUGCCAACCCUUUUGUCUGCCAUAUUCAUUUGAAACACCAAUAUUAACAUAACUUUGUUGCCAUAAAGAGGGUCCCAAUUUGACAAGAACAUUAAAAAAAACUAGCAUGAACACACCUCCACCGGCUCCGACACAGAUUGCGACAAAAUUCACAAACUAUGACGGCAAAGAUUAAAAAAGAAAGAAUAAGAACCAUAUAAUACCAGCACAUUUAGGGAACAUGUAAAUUAGAACAAAUUAUUGAAGGGAAGAACAGUAUAGAAGUAUUGUGAAGAGGAAUAUCCAAUUUAACAACCAAGGAGAUACAAAUUUCCACCAAGAAAAGAACAGAACUAAUGAGAUACCAUCAAACUAAAUACAAAAAGAUUUUACGUAUUUUAUAACCACUCCAUUACUCAUUCUGUACAAGCCUCAAUAAGUGGUCUCUUCUCCCCCCAAUUUCAAGUAAUUAAUCCAGCUUUUUUUAAUGAAGAUUGGCUUUAGAGAUUAAAAGGAUUAUUAUAGCUGUGGUCUUAUUAAUUAAAUGCGUACCUUCAUUUGAGCCAAAAUUGAAUAUGAUUGGAGAAAGAGAGAAAAGAUUUAUUGGUAUUAACAGAGAGGAGCCCUCCGAGGGAUUCCUUUCCUUUUGCGCAACUGUCUCCUUGGCUUCAGUGUUGAACUCAGCCAUCCUUGAGUUUCCUCCGACAUAUCUGUCAAAGAAAAAGACGAUUCAUUCUCUUCAAUUGAAUGUCUUUCUUGAUUGUAGUUUUCCUUCCAAGAAAGGUCAAUUGAGAAGGUUAUCAUCUUAUGGUUUUGGUCUUUAGGCUUUACUGAUGCGGCUGCGACCUUACAUGCAAUAGAGCAAAAGCGAUUAGGCAAAUCUUGUAUGUAUCUCCCACAAGCUUCACAGGAAGCACCAAAUUUUGCUUUGGUUGAUGGUUUUGAAUCUUUGGAUUGAGGUCUGGGGUUCAAAUGAACUGCCUUUUCACCAUUAAUCUUGUAUGUCUGAAUUUUAGAGCAGUCGAGAUGUUUCUGAAUGUCCUGGAGCCUCACAACAUCAUGGUAUACGUACUUGCAGAUCUGAAGUUGGCGAUGGAGCCAAUGAGCCUUCACACAAUGCCUACAAAAUUCAAGAUUACAGUCGAUGCAGAAUACAUUUUUCUCAUUCUUUCUCAGUUCUUGAUGAUCAUCACAAGAACUGAAAAAUUUGCUCUGCAAAAGUGUACUCAGCCAAUCUGAUUUUUUCUUUAUAUAAAACUUGCAUCCUACCAUUUCCUUGGGUUAGAGAUGGAGUUGUUCUUAGUGUGAAGGAUGAGUGGAAAGAGAUUGGUAGUGAAUAAGAGCAAAGCAGAAAAGAGAAAGUG
rnacentral:misc_RNA from 1 species